UGGCUCAGGAUGAACGCUGGCGGCGUGCUUAACACAUGCAAGUCGAACGAAGCACUUUAUUUGAUUUCCUUCGGGACUGAUUAUUUUGUGACUGAGUGGCGGACGGGUGAGUAACGCGUGGGUAACCUGCCUUGUACAGGGGGAUAACAGUUGGAAACGGCUGCUAAUACCGCAUAAGCGCACGGCAUCGCAUGAUGCAGUGUGAAAAACUCCGGUGGUAUAAGAUGGACCCGCGUUGGAUUAGCUAGUUGGUGAGGUAACGGCCCACCAAGGCGACGAUCCAUAGCCGACCUGAGAGGGUGACCGGCCACAUUGGGACUGAGACACGGCCCAAACUCCUACGGGAGGCAGCAGUGGGGAAUAUUGCACAAUGGGGGAAACCCUGAUGCAGCGACGCCGCGUGAGCGAAGAAGUAUUUCGGUAUGUAAAGCUCUAUCAGCAGGGAAGAUAAUGACGGUACCUGACUAAGAAGCACCGGCUAAAUACGUGCCAGCAGCCGCGGUAAUACGUAUGGUGCAAGCGUUAUCCGGAUUUACUGGGUGUAAAGGGAGCGCAGGCGGUGCGGCAAGUCUGAUGUGAAAGCCCGGGGCUCAACCCCGGUACUGCAUUGGAAACUGUCGUACUAGAGUGUCGGAGGGGUAAGCGGAAUUCCUAGUGUAGCGGUGAAAUGCGUAGAUAUUAGGAGGAACACCAGUGGCGAAGGCGGCUUACUGGACGAUAACUGACGCUGAGGCUCGAAAGCGUGGGGAGCAAACAGGAUUAGAUACCCUGGUAGUCCACGCCGUAAACG
rnacentral:rRNA from 1 species